rnacentral:rRNA from 1 species
GACGAACGCUGGCGGCGUGCUUAACACAUGCAAGUCGAACGGAAAGGCCCUGCUUUUGUGGGGUGCUCGAGUGGCGAACGGGUGAGUAACACGUGAGUAACCUGCCCUUGACUUUGGGAUAACUUCAGGAAACUGGGGCUAAUACCGGAUAGGAGCUCCUGCUGCAUGGUGGGGGUUGGAAAGUUUCGGCGGUUGGGGAUGGACUCGCGGCUUAUCAGCUUGUUGGUGGGGUAGUGGCUUACCAAGGCUUUGACGGGUAGCCGGCCUGAGAGGGUGACCGGCCAAAUUGGGAAUGAGAUACGGCCCAGACUCCUACGGGAGGCAGCAGUGGGGAAUAUUGCACAAUGGGCGGAAGCAUGAUGCAGCAACGCCGCGUGCGGGAUGACGGCCUUCGGGUUGUAAACCGCUUUCGCCUGUGACGAAGAGUGAGUGACGGUAAUGGGUAAAGAAGCACCGGCUAACUACGUG